rnacentral:rRNA from 1 species
UACGUAGGGUGCGAGCGUUAAUCGGAAUUACUGGGCGUAAAGCGUGCGCAGGCGGUUGUGCAAGACCGAUGUGAAAUCCCCGGGCUCAACCUGGGAAUGGCAUUGGUGACUGCACGGCUAGAGUGUGUCAGAGGGGGGUAGAAUUCCACGUGUAGCAGUGAAAUGCGUAGAGAUGUGGAGGAACACCGAUGGCGAAGGCAGCCCCCUGGGACCUGACUGACGCUCAUGUACGAAAGCGUGGGGAGCAAACAGG